rnacentral:lncRNA from 1 species
CUGGCAUCCGUCAGUGGAAACCCUUCUCCCCCUGCACAUGCUAACGCCAGAUUGUAUCUCGCCUCUUCCCCAUUCUUGUGAUCAUCCGUUAACGUCGAAAUACCUUCCCAAAUAGUGACAGCAUCCGUUACACGCUUAUACUCGCUGCUCCCAUCAGCCAUAUCCUCCACACUCGUCACUAACAUGUCACUCUCGCUUUCCUCCCGAGCCCUAGCAAAGUCGAGUCCCACGACUUGAUUUUCUCUUUUUUUUUUUCUCUUCAUUUAACUGUAUCCCAUCAGGAGGAAUAAUAAUGCUUGGACCGGGUUUGACCUGUUUGGGCUCCCAAAAUGAUUUAACUCGUUUCUUUCCCAUCUUCUUGGGUGGCCCAGGAUGGUCGAUCCACUUUCCUUUUUCAGCCCACGUGUAUCUUUUCCUUCCUUCCCCUUUCAGCCCAUGAAGAGAGUUACUCAAAUCCCGCCCAAUCCCCUUCACGUGACCAGCCUUCUCCGUAGUUUUGAAAUUCAAACUUGUCCGACCGGCCUCUUCCUGACCCGACAACCUCGUCUGCCCUACCUGUUCCGUGGUAAUGGAUGGUUUGCAAAGGAUCUCAACAAACGUCACCGGUUUCUACUCUAAUCAAAAUUCUCACUCUAGUUUGCACCCAGGGCACCUCACAACCAUUAUUGAGGGCACAUCAUGACUAAUCUUCUGCGAUGCUGCCCCCCUUCCCUUACCCUUAAGCCACUUCGGAGGAACCAGAUCAAUCUCUGCUACUUCGUGAAAAGCCUCCAUAAGUUGCCACCAACCCUAUGCUUUCUCACUUAUGGAACAAAAAUUCUAUUGAUUCCCCCUCUAACCCCUCCUUACUUUCCGAGGACACCAAAAAUUUCCCUCUUCUCCUACCACCAAGUGCCAUCCAUAAUGUUCUCCAGUUAGACUCGCGACGCCUUCCCAAAACUCCCUCUUCAUACUUCCACUUGAACUCUUUGAAACAAUGGAGCAGCCAUUCCAAGUCCGCUCUUUGAUAGAAAAUGGAUUUUUGAAACCCCCUACCAUUCUCGUACACCCUUACCUCUUUUCCUUCUUCCACAACAUUGAAUGACUUUUGCUCAACUAAUAAAUGUCUCCUAAGGCCCAUGACCAUUCUGGCCAGAGCGAUUGCCGCGUGGACUGGCAGUCGCGAUGUAAGUGUAUUAGAGAGAAGAAAGAGAGAGUAAUUACCAGCAAAAAUCUAGAGAGUAAUUACACGGUUAUUUGUGUUCUUGUUAAAUAAGCGGUUUUGGAUUGAAUAAGAUAUGCAG